GGACGCCGAAGGACAGCAGAGUUGGUUGAUGGAGAGCAUCUGGUCAGCCUCCUGGCGUGCGUGGCAGGGCUGAGAAGGUGGCAAGUGAAUAUGGGGCUGGGGCUGGAAGACAUCCACGGCAGAUGACUGUAAGUGCUAUGGAGAAAAAUAAAGUAGGAAAGAGAGACAAGGAGGAAAUAGGUCUUGCUCUGUUGCCUAGACUGGAGUGCAGUGGCAGUGAUCACAGCUUAUUGCGGCCUUGA
rnacentral:lncRNA from 1 species